rnacentral:rRNA from 1 species
GACAGAGGUGCCGAGCGUUAGGCGGAAUCACUGGGCUUAAAGCGUGUGUAGGCGGGUCGUUAAGUGCCUUGUGAAAUCCCACAGCUCACCUGUGGAACUGCUUGGCAUACUGGCGAUCUUGAGCCACUUAGGGGCAACCGGAACAAACGGUGGAGCGGUGAAAUGCGUAGAUAUCGGGAGGAACACCAAUUGCGAAGGCAGCUCGCUGGGACGUGACUGACGCUGAGACGCGAAAGCGUGGGGAGCAAACAGG